rnacentral:rRNA from 1 species
GACGAACGCUGGCGGCGUGCCUAAUACAUGCAAGUCGAACGCUGAAGGAGGAGCUUGCUUCUCUGGAUGAGUUGCGAACGGGUGAGUAACGCGUAGGUAACCUGCCUGGUAGCGGGGGAUAACUAUUGGAAACGAUAGCUAAUACCGCAUAAGAGUAGAUGUUGCAUGACAUUUGCUUAAAAGGUGCAAUUGCAUCACUACCAGAUGGACCUGCGUUGUAUUAGCUAGUUGGUGGGGUAACGGCUCACCAAGGCGACGAUACAUAGCCGACCUGGGAGGGGGAUCGGCCACACUGGGACUGGGACACGGCCCAGACUCCUACGGGAGGCAGCAGGAGGGAAUCUUCGGCAAGGGACGGAAGUCUGACCGAGCAACGCCGCGGGAGUGAAGAAGGGUUUCGGAUCGUAAAGCUCUGUUGUAAGAGAAGAACGAGUGUGAGAGUGGAAAGUUCACACUGUGACGGUAGCUUACCAGAAAGGGACGGCUAACUACGUG